UCUUUCUCUCUGUCACUUGCUCCUAUUUUCACCAUGUGAAGUGCUUGCUCCCACUUUGCCUUCCACCAUGAGUAAAAGCUCCCUGAGGCCUCCCGAGAAGCCAAGCAGUGUUGGCGCCAUGCUUGUACAGCCUGCAAAACUGAUGAGCGGUACCUUUCUCAAGAUCCCAUUCCUGCUGUUUCUGAGCCUCUUUGCCUUGAGGGCCCUUCUGUACCAGUGAGCCUCCAGUAAGUCUUGCUUCGCAAAGAAGCAGAGUGCUGCAUUUCAAUACUACAGACUACUUCAAAAUCAUGUUUUCAUUUCCCAGAAAGAGUUUUUUAAAAUGCACUACACUUCAGUGGCUGUAUCCUGCCAGAGCCCAGCACCAAGGAGCCAAGGAGCACCUAAACAAGCUCUAGAAGGAAUUCACUUUCCUCCUUUUGUUGAAAAAUAAAGGCAAGUCAAGCCGUGGGCCAGAGUGCGCUCUUGGAGAACACACAGAGUGAUCCACAUCAGGGAGGUUGUGUCUGGUUCUUUCAGAGGUCCCUGCCUUGCCCCAGCAGCAACUGCAGAAAUGGCUAACCCCACCCCACUUUCCACAGCCAAUAGGAGCAGAGCCAGGGGACAGCCGCUCUGAGAGCCCCCUAUGCACAACUUCUGAAAGAAACCCCCAAAUUUCACCCUAUCUCCCCUAUCUCUCCCACCCCUUUCACCUCUGCCCCAAGGGGAUGCCUUAAAAUCUUACUUAGGAAUAGGCUCUAUGGAAAUUAAG
rnacentral:lncRNA from 10 species